UACGUAGGGACCGAGCGUUGUCCGGAAUCAUUGGGCGUAAAGAGCGUGUAGGCGGCUUGUUAAGUCUUGCGUGAAAUCUCGGGGCUCAACCCCGAGCGGUCGUGAGAAACUGGCAGGCUAGAGUGCGGGAGAGGAGAGUGGAAUUCCUGGUGUAGCGGUGAAAUGCGCAGAUAUCAGGAAGAACACCUAUGGCGAAGGCAGCUCUCUGGGACGGUACUGACGCUGAGACGCGAAAGCGUGGGGAGCGAACAGG
rnacentral:rRNA from 1 species